AUGAUUCUGUGGCUGAAUUUGGUUUCCUUAUUAGCAGUCCCCAGAGGUGUCCUGUCAGAGGCCCAGCUGGUGGAGUCCGGAGGGGAUGUGAGGAGGCCUGGAGAGUCCCUCCGUCUCUCCUGCCAAGGCUCUGGUUUCAACUUCGGGGGCUAUUCGAUGAACUGGGUGAGGCAGGCCCCUGGCAAAGGGCUGGAAUGGGUGGCACGCAUAUGGUCCGAUUCCAGUAAGCAGUACUAUGCAGAGUCUGUGAAGGGACGCUUCACCAUCUCCAGGGACAACUCCAAAAGCCAAGUCUAUCUGCAAAUGAACAGCCUGAAGCCGGAGGACUCGGCAGUCUAUUACUGUGCGAUGAAGGGGAGUUUCAUUUAUGGAAAUGGGACAGAUUUUGGAGAAAUAAAGGAAUGA